rnacentral:rRNA from 1 species
AUACGUAGGUGACAAGCGUUAUCCGGAUUUACUGGGUGUAAAGGGCGUGUAGGCGGAGAUGCAAGUCAGGAGUGAAAUCUAGGGGCUCAACCCCUAAACUGCUUUUGAAACUGUAUCCCUUGAGUAUCGGAGAGGCAGGCGGAAUUCCUAGUGUAGCGGUGAAAUGCGUAGAUAUUAGGAGGAACACCAGUGGCGAAGGCGGCCUGCUGGACGACAACUGACGCUGAGGCGCGAAAGCGUGGGGAGCAGACAGGAUUAGAUACCCUGGUAGUCCACGCUGUAAACGAUGAAUACUAGGUGUGGGGGGACUGACCCCCUCCGUGCCGCAGUUAACACAAUAAGUAUUCCACCUGGGGAGUACGAUCGCAAGAUUGAAACACAAAUGAAUUGACGGGG